UACGUAGGGUGCGAGCGUUUUCCGGAAUUACUGGGCGUAAAGAGCUCGUAGGUGGUUUGUCGCGUUGUUCGUGAAAUCUCACGGCUUAACUGUGAGCGUGCGGGCGAUACGGGCAGACUAGAGUACUGCAGGGGAGACUGGAAUUCCUGGUGUAGCGGUGGAAUGCGCAGAUAUCAGGAGGAACACCGGUGGCGAAGGCGGGUCUCUGGGCAGUAACUGACGCUGAGGAGCGAAAGCGUGGGGAGCGAACAGG
rnacentral:rRNA from 1 species